rnacentral:lncRNA from 1 species
CCACGGUGAAGGAAUUCAAAGAAGUAUUUACAACCAUUCAUUCAACCAACAUAUACUGAGGAUCUGCUGUACACACAGGCACCAAGAUGUGGUCCCUACCCUCAGGGAGCUGUUUAGGUUGGCAAUACGGUCACUGCCCCUCCCACCCAGGACCCUGCCCUCCGGGACAGCUCCGGGACAGCACCGGGCCAGCCUCUUGCUUGAACUCGCCACUUGUCCUGUUAGCCUUUGACUCAAGAUGUCAGAUAUAAACUGUUGGCAAAAUUCAGCUGAAUAUUGUCUUCUAGUAAACCUAAGCUGAUUCCUAAGUUGGGUACAAGCGUGAUCGGGUGUAAGCCAGCCUCAGCUUUUACAAAGUGAAAUGCAUAUUCUUUUAUUAGAAAUUACUUUCAUGUCCCUGCCUUCUCCUUAUAAACAAAGGGCAUCAUAUUGAUUUUUUACCCGGGGAACCAUCACCUGGGCUGCAGCCUCAGGACGAACCUGUGCCUUCCCUCUGUCUCAAUUUCCUGCUUUGGGAAAUAGGAGCCACAAGCCACAAACUCCAUCCACCGCGCCACAGGAGCGAGGUCCAACGCAACGGUCCCUAGGGCCUGCCUCCAACCCAGCCUCAGUUUCCUAUCUGUCACAUCGUUCUAUGAUCUCGAAAUGACUAUAACCCCUUUCUUAGCCCCAAACCAGCCGGAAGCGACAUCUUCCGGUUGCUACAGGUUACGGCGGUUGCUAUGGGCUACGGCGCCUGCGCAGAAACACCGCCAAGCGACUCAGCAACUUCUAGAGCGCAUGCGUUUCGCCCACCCAGGCCCGGGCGCGGUUAGGGGUGACUCCCACGAUCCCUAGCGGCUGCAGAGUGGAACAUGGCGGCCUCCUUGCCGCUUGCGUUACCAGAGUCCACCCGGCCUCGUGCUUUCUCCGGGCGCCCGUAGCUGGCGCCGGCAUCCACAAAAAUAGAUCAGGUAAAGCAGCAGAGUAAGGCAUAGGAAGACUUGGUCGGGCUCCGCGGCCCCUCUUUACCGGAUUGGAGGCUGCGCGGGUGAAAUCGAGCUUUAAACUCCCCUGGCCUCGGAACACCAUUUGUAGCCUCUGAAGGAGGAGGACUUAUAAGAUUCUGUACUAAGGCAGCCGUGGGAAGGGAGGAGAACCAGGUCGGCCCGCGCGCUCCCGGCUGCUUUUGCUCUCCCUUUGGUUUCGAAAGCGUCAAGUCCCAAGGUAUUUCCUACCAAUUGUGACGUCACCCUUCCUCCCCCGUUUCUCACCCGUUUCUUGUCUGGCCGUGACUUCUGACCCAGUGUUGAGCUAAAAAUGCCCCGCCCCACCCUACGCAGAUUCACCCCGCGUCCCACCCACCAGUGACUGAGUGACUGGGCUUCUGCUGCCUAGGGAAGGGUUCUUGGCUUGGCCGGGCAAAUCAAUUCCCACAGCAAAAUCAGACCGAAAGCCUGUUAUGAGGGACUCAGGCAGUUGGAUGUGGCGUAUAGGAGGAAGGCUAGGGCAAUCAGGAAGGUCUCCUGGAGGAAGGAAGAAGACCCUGACUGGGCCGUGUAGGAUGGAUGUUCAAGUGGGAAGAGAGUGUGCUAUUCCAGGGACAGGGAGGCCCAGGCCUGAGAGUCCAGUUGCCUUCUGGAUCCCGUUUACCUCGCAGAUUAUCCAAACUGGACUCGUGAUUUUCCCCAGCUGUGCCGCGCCUCCCCAGCGGUCUCACUGAAUCCACCCAUGGGCUAUGUCAGAAAUCUGGGAGUUAUCCUCAGCUCCUCCCUUUCCCUUCUGAAGCCAUACCUACUUCUUGCCCUCAAAUCUCUGUGACCUGACUUCUGGUAAUGUUUCCAUUCUCACCAUCUCAUUCUUCUCCACACUUAUCAUGAAGUUCAUUUAUUCCAGACUACUUUAGGUUGAGUCCUAAAAGUCAGCCUGCUAGUUCAUGCCUCCAUGCUUUUGCAGGUGCUAUUCCCUCUGUCUUAAGAGUCAUUCAUGCCUUCUCUCUUUUCCUUGUUGUGAACUCUUUUUCCUCCAAUUUAAAGCUUUCCCCCACCUGUACGCAUGGAGAUUGGCAAGCCUCCCUUCUCUAGACGACAGCAUUUCUUGUAUUUGCCUCUUCAUCAUAUAUUCCACAAGUGUUUGUUAAUCACCUACUAUGAGCAAGGCCUUCUGCAUUUCCUAGGUU